rnacentral:lncRNA from 1 species
AACAGCUUCCAGGCAGGGCAGGGCGGGGCCACACCUUGACUCCCUGGUUACUCCCCCAGGGGCCCCCCCUACCCUCCCAGAGCUCUACCCCCAGUGUUCCCACACACCCUGUUAGCUGAGGGGUGGCUGUUGCUGUGCCUGGUCCUCACAGGGCUCCCCAGACAAUGCAGAGCAAAGGCACAGUUGUCACCUGAGGGGCAGUGUUAUCUCAGGACAGGGAACCAGAUCACCUGAGUGUAACUAGGAGCAGUUUCCUUCCUAGGACAGGGCAUGGGGAACAGCAGAUGGAAGGGCUGUACCAGCACUGGCAGGUGCAGUGCGGGCACAGGAGAAACAAGAGGAAGGCUGGAGACUGCAGAAGGCCCAGAGUGGGGAGGAACAGCUCAGGUGAAGCUGAUGUCGUGGAUGAGUGAGGAAAAUCGCAGGCAGCACUCCCGCAGCAGUGGCUGGCAAGCGAGCUGCAAAGGGCUCACCAUCAACAUCACAGGCUGUGCUUCCCUUAAGACUGAGAGCAAUCACCACUCCCUUUUGCAAGUGUGCCAUUUGGCACGCUUUGGUUUGGAUGACCAAACUUCAUCAUAGUAAAGUAUUUCUUAACAAGUCAGCUCUCACGUGAAUUCAAAAUGACACCAAUUUCACAGCUAACCCUCCCAGCACAAAAAAAUUUCAAAAUUAUUCACAGAAAUUUUAUAACAUUUUCCUUCUGGGUCUGAAAGAGAGAAAGAGUCUUAGAAUUCCUAUCAUCCAAUGUUUCAGUCUUAUUUCUUGAAAUGCCCUAAACUGCUCAAUUUCAGGCUGUUUUACCAUUAAGAUGCAUUUUCCUUUUGUCUUACAAAAGCCUGAGGAAGGUUAAACGCCUCGGUUCUUUUGCUAGAGGCUGUGCUAUGUAGAUCAUAUCUCCUGUGAUUUAACUCUGCUUUGUCAGAAGGAAGCCACGAUCAUGUACCAUUUUGCUCUUUUCUUCAAGUUAAGCUGUCUAGAGAAGAUGGCAAAAACGACAAUCCCCUAAACCUAAUAAAGGAAAAGAAAAUUAAAUUAGCUUCA